rnacentral:rRNA from 1 species
GCUAAUACCGCAUACGUCCUACGGGAGAAAGCAGGGGAUCUUCGGACCUUGCGCUAUCGGAUGAGCCCAUGUCGGAUUAGCUUGUUGGUGAGGUAAUGGCUCACCAAGGCGACGAUCCGUAGCUGGUCUGAGAGGAUGAUCAGCCACACUGGGACUGAGACACGGCCCAGACUCCUACGGGAGGCAGCAGUGGGGAAUAUUGGACAAUGGGCGAAAGCCUGAUCCAGCCAUGCCGCGUGUGUGAAGAAGGCCUUCGGGUUGUAAAGCACUUUCAGCGAGGAAGAACGCCUUGGGAUUAAUACUCCCGAGGAAAGACAUCACUCGCAGAAGAAGCACCGGCUAACUCCGUGCCAGCAGCCCGCGGUAAUACGGAGGGUGCAAGCGUUAAUCGGAAUUACUGGGCGUAAAGCGCGCGUAGGUGGCUAAGUCAGCCAGGUGUGAAAGCCCCGGGCUCAACCUGGGAACGGCAUCUGGAACUGCUUGGCUAGAGUGCAGGAGAGGAAGGUAGAAUUCCCGGUGUAGCGGUGAAAUGCGUAGAGAUCUGGAAAGAANANAANUGUUCAAAGCGGGCCUUUCUGGACUGACACUGACACUGAGGUGCGAAAGCGUGGGUAGCAUAUAUANNAUUAAAUACCCUGGUAGUCCACGCCGUAAACGAUGUCUACUAACCGUUGGGUCCCUUGAGGACUUAGUGGCGCAGCUAACGCAAUAAGUUGACCGCCUGGGGAGUACGGCCGCAAGGUUAAAACUCAAAUGAAUUGACGGGGGCCCGCACAAGCGGUGGAGCAUGUGGUUUAAUUCGAUGCAACGCGAAGAACCUUACCUACCCUUGACAUCCAGAGGACUUUCCAGAAAUGGAUUGGUGCCUUCGGGAACUCUGAGACAGGUGCUGCAUGGCUGUCGUCAGCUCGUGUUGUGAAAUGUUGGGUUAAGUCCCGUAACGAGCGCAACCCCUAUCCUUAUUUGCCAGCGAGUAAUGUCGGGAACUCUAAGGAGACUGCCGGUGACAAACCGGAGGAAGGUGGGGACGACGUCAAGUCAUCAUGGCCCUUACGGGUAGGGCUACACACGUGCUACAAUGGCAAGUACAAAGGGUUGCAAUACUGCGAAGUGGAGCCAAUCCCAUAAAGCUUGCCUCAGUCCGGAUUGGAGUCUGCAACUCGACUCCAUGAAGUCGGAAUCGCUAGUAAUCGUGGAUCAGAAUGCCACGG